GUUAAUAUUCCUGUACUUGGUGUUACUGCGAAGGGGGGACGGAGAAGGCUAUGUUAGCCGGGCGACGGUUGUCCCGGUUUAAGCAUGUAGGCUGGUUAUCCAGGCAAAUCCGGAUAACCAAGGCUGAGGUGUGAUGACGAGGCACUACGGUGCUGAAGUAACAAAUGCCCUGCUUCCAGGAAAAGCCUCUAAGCAUCAGGUAACAUCAAAUCGUACCCCAAACCGACACAGGUGGUCAGGUAGAGAAUACCAAGGCGCUUGAGAGAACUCGGGUGAAGGAACUAGGCAAAAUGGUGCCGUAACUUCGGGAGAAGGCACGCUGGUGUGUAGGUGAAGUCCCUGCGGAUGGAGCUGAGACCAGUCGAAGAUACCAGCUGGCUGCAACUGUUUAUUAAAAACACAGCACUGUGCAAACACGAAAGUGGACGUAUACGGUGUGACGCCUGCCCGGUGCCGGAAGGUUAAUUGAUGGGGUUAUCCGUAAGGAGAAGCUCUUGAUCGAAGCCCCGGUAAACGGCGGCCGUAACUAUAACGGUCCUAAGGUAGCGAAAUUCCUUGUCGGGUAAGUUCCGACCUGCACGAAUGGCGUAAUGAUGGCCAGGCUGUCUCCACCCGAGACUCAGUGAAAUUGAACUCGCUGUGAAGAUGCAGUGUACCCGCGGCAAGACGGAAAGACCCCGUGAACCUUUACUAUAGCUUGACACUGAACAUUGAGCCUUGAUGUGUAGGAUAGGUGGGAGGCUUUGAAGCGUGGACGCCAGUCUGCGUGGAGCCAACCUUGAAAUACCACCCUUUAAUGUUUGAUGUUCUAACGUUGGCCCCUGACCGGGGUUGCGGACAGUGUCUGGUGGGUAGUUUGACUGGGGCGGUCUCCUCCCAAAGCGUAACGGAGGAGCACGAAGGUUAGCUAAUCCUGGUCGGACAUCAGGAGGUUAGUGCAAUGGCAUAAGCUAGCUUGACUGCGAGCGUGACGGCGCGAGCAGGUGCGAAAGCAGGUCAUAGUGAUCCGGUGGUUCUGAAUGGAAGGGCCAUCGCUCAACGGAUAAAAGGUACUCCGGGGAUAACAGGCUGAUACCGCCCAAGAGUUCAUAUCGACGGCGGUGUUUGGCACCUCGAUGUCGGCUCAUCACAUCCUGGGGCUGAAGUAGGUCCCAAGGGUAUGGCUGUUCGCCAUUUAAAGUGGUACGCGAGCUGGGUUUAGAACGUCGUGAGACAGUUCGGUCCCUAUCUGCCGUGGGCGCUGGAGAAUUGAGGGGGGCUGCUCCUAGUACGAGAGGACCGGAGUGGACGCAUCACUGGUGUUCGGGUUGUCAUGCCAAUGGCACUGCCCGGUAGCUAAAUGCGGAAGAGAUAAGUGCUGAAAGCAUCUAAGCACGAAACUUGCCCCGAGAUGAGUUCUCCCUGAGACUUUAAGUCUCCUGAAGGAACGUUGAAGACGACGACGUUGAUAGGCCGGGUGUGUAAGCGCAGCGAUGCGUUGAGCUAACCGGUACUAAUGAACCGUGAGGCUUAACCUU
rnacentral:rRNA from 1 species